AUUAUUAACGCUGUGCUGCGAGUGCCUGAUUCCUGUCACCUCUUGGAAGCUAAGCAGGGCUAUGCAUGGUUAGUCCGUGGAUGGGAGACCACCUUGGAAGGCCAGGGGUUGCUAAAC
rnacentral:rRNA from 12 species